ensembl:lncRNA
GCAAGCCCUGCCAGCCGGGGGUCCUUGGAAGCAGUGUACUGGGGGCAAGAAAGAAGAAAUCAGUCUGGAAGAGCUUCCUGGUUUCAUUCCAAGUCCAAGAGCCCCAGAAAAAGGUGUGUACAGCACAGCUUCUCCCAGCCUGGGAAAAACACACUCUCCAGUGGAAAGAAUGGCUAAGUUUAGCUUCUUGACUCCUUCAGGUGAUGACAUACCCACACUCUACCAAGGUCACGCUGGCCAGCCCCUGGAGGACACGGCUCCUGCUUCUAGGAAAUGCUUAAGCACACCUACCAUUUACUGAGUGCUUCUGUCUGUUCAGCCCUGGGCGAAGAGUGUUAUGUUGUUUUUCAUCCUAACAACCAUCUUCUGACAUAGUUA